rnacentral:lncRNA from 1 species
GUCCAACAAAUAAGUGAAAAAAUAAAAUAAAAAAUUUAUUUAUUUUAUUUCUAACCAACUAGAGUUUGAGUUUAAAGAGUUGACUUCGAAUCGAAACUUUAAUAAAACUCUAUUAGAGUUUCUUGACAAACGAGUUUUGUUGUUCAAACUCGAUAAAGAACCGAGUCGAAUUGAGUUCAUGUUACGUAUGUUUACGGUCUUAAUAUCAUUCUUUAUUUUCUUACAACUAUCAACUAAAAAAAAUCUACAAUCCUCAAACAUAAAGAUAAUUGAAGAAAUCAUUUUGAUACUGGUCAAAAGUCAGGGAUAAGAAAAUAUGAUCACCUUUCUGACAUAAAGAAUACAAGAACUGUUCAUGGCAGCACAACUUUCUUAUAAAUUAGAUGUGAAUAUUAAAGAAAACGUAAUGGUAGGUAAUCCUAUCAUUCAUCGAUAUAAGAAAUAUCUUUUUUAAAAAAUCAAAUGGACAUCAUAUAAAAAGUAGUGUAAAAAGGAGUAUGAAUAUGAAAUCUGAAUCUUCAUGUUCAAAUGGCACUAGUGUUUAUAGACAUGCCACUUAUUUAAUUUUAAAAUUGUCCCUCAACUUGAA